rnacentral:rRNA from 1 species
AGGACGAACGCUGGCGGCGUGCUUAAUACAUGCAAGUCAACUGAACUUAAGGUAGCAAUAUUUUAAGGGAGGUGGCGCACGGGUGAGUAACACGUAGGUAAUCUGCCUUUAGGUCUGACACAACCUACCGAAAGGUAGGCUAAUAUCAGAUGAUGCAGCGGCUCGACAUCGAGACAGUUGUUAAACCUUCGGGGCCUAAAGAUGAGCCUGCGUCUGAUUAGGUAGUUGGUGGGGUAAUGGCCUACCAAGGCGACGACGGGUAGCCGGCCUGAGAGGGCGACCGGCCACACUGGGACUGAGACACGGCCCAGACUCCUACGGGAGGCAGCAGUGGGGAAUAUUGCGCAAUGGGCGAAAGCCUGACGCAGCGACGCCGCGUGAGGGAUGAAGGCCUUCGGGUUGUAAACCUCUUUCAGCAGGGACGGAGCGAAAGUGACGGUACCUGCAGAAGAAGCACCGGCUAACUACGUG